UAACCUGCCUGGUAGCGGGGGAUAACUAUUGGAAACGAUAGCUAAUACCGCAUAAUAGUAGAUGUUGCAUGACAUUUACUUAAAAGGUGCAAUUGCAUCACUACCAGAUGGACCUGCGUUGUAUUAGCUAGUUGGUGGGGUAACGGCUCGCCAAGGCGACGAUACAUAGCCGACCUGAGAGGGUGAUCGGCCACACUGGGACUGAGACACGGCCCAG
rnacentral:rRNA from 1 species